rnacentral:tRNA from 1 species
GGGGUUGUGGCUCAGAAGUAGAGCACUUGCCUAGCACGUGCAAGGCCCUGAGUUCAAUCCUCAGCACCA